CAGUCGCCACGGUAAUACGUAGGGUGCAAGCGUUAAUCGGAAUUACUGGGCGUAAAGCGUGCGCAGGCGGUUUUGUAAGUCUGUCGUGAAAUCCCCGGGCUCAACCUGGGAAUGGCGAUGGAGACUGCAAGGCUAGAAUCUGGCAGAGGAGGGUAGAACUCCGCGUGUAGCAGUGAAAUGCGUAGAUAUGUGGAGGAACACCGAUGGCGAUGGCAGCCCCCUGGGCUAAGAUUGACGCUCAUGCACGAAAGCGUGGGGAGCAAACAGGAUUAGAUACCCCCGUAGUCCCUGUCUCUUAUAC
rnacentral:rRNA from 1 species